CAGAAAAAUUUAUAUUAAUUAAAUUUACUUAAUAUAAAUUUUACUAUCAGGGGUUACAAAGCUACUGAUAGAAUGAAUAAUAAAUUACUGGUCUUCAGAUGAGAA